CGAACGCUGUGUCCCUGUAGCGCGUUGGACUUCUAUUCCAAAGGCCGUGGGUUCGAAUCCCACCAGGAUGA